AGAGUUUGACCCUGGCUCAGGAUGAACGCUAGCGAAAUGCCUAACACAUGCAAGUCGAACGGAUCUUGCCUCGUAGUAAUACGGAGUAAGAUUAGUGGCAAACGAGCGAGUAACGCGUGCUUAACCUGCCCCGAAGAUGGGUAUAACUGCAGAGAUGUAGCUAAUUCCCAAUAUGCUCACGAUGGUGAAAUUCCAAUGUGAGGAAAGAUUUAUCGCUUCGGGAGGGGGGUGCGUCCUAUCAGGUAGUUGGUGGGGUAAUGGCCUACCAAGCCUAUGACGGGUAACCGGUCUGAGAUGAUGUCCGGUCGCGAUGGGACUGAGAUACGGCCCAUACUCCUACGGGAGGCAGCAGUGGGGAAUCUUGCACAAUGGACGAAAGUCUGAUGCAGCAAUUUCGCGUGAAGGAUGAAGCAUUACGGUGUGUAAACUUCUUUUUUGGCAGAAGACGAAUGACGGUAUGUCAAGAAUAAGAGACGGCUAACUACGUGCCAGCAGCCGCGGUAAUACGUAGGUCUCAAGCGUUAUCCGGAUUUACUGGGCGUAAAGUGUCCGUAGUCUGAAUUGUAAGUCUGUUUUCAAAUCCUACGACUCAAUCGUAGAAAGGGAAUGGAUACUGCAAUUCUGGAAGUAUCUAGGGGUUAGUGGAAUUUCCGGUGGAGCGGUGAAAUGCGUUGAUAUCGGAAGGAACGCCGAAAGCGAAAGCAGCUAACUAUAGAAUACUUGACGAUGAGGGACGACAGUUUGGGGAGCAAACAGGAUUAGAUACCCUGGUAGUCCAAACCGUAAAUUAUGCUUGCUAGAUGUUUUUAUCAAUUUAUUGGUAGGAGUGUCGUAAUCUAACGAGUUAAGCAAGCCGCCUGGGUAGUAUAUUCGCAAGAAUGAAACUCAAAGGGAUAGGCGGGGGAACACACAA
rnacentral:rRNA from 1 species